rnacentral:rRNA from 1 species
CUACGGGAGGCACCAGGCGAGAAAACUUUGCAAUGUGCGAAAGCACGACAAGGUUAAUCCGAGUGGUUUCUGCUAAAGGAACCUUUUGACAGUCCUAGAAACACUGUUGAAUAAGGGGUGGGCAAGUUCUGGUGUCAGCCGCCGCGGUAAAACCAGCACCUCAAGUGGUCAGGAUGAUUAUUGGGCCCAAAGCAUCCGUAGCCGGCUCUGUAAGUUUUCGGUUAAAUCUGUACGCUCAACGUACAGGCUGCCGGGAAUACUGCAGAGCUAGGGAGUGAGAGAGGUAGACGGUACUCGGUAGGAAGGGGUAAAAUCCUUUGAUCUAUUGAUGACCACCUGUGGCGAAGGCGGUCCACCAGAACACGUCCGACGGUGAGGGAUGAAAGCUGGGGGAGCAAACCGGAUUAGAUACCCCGGUAGUC